AUGGUGGUAAGGAUGGGGCAGAGGGAGCAUAAGAGGAAGAAGAAGAAGAAGACAUAAUUGUUGUUGCGGUGUGAAUUGAUAGGAACGAUGACACGUUAAGAAAGUGAGUAUGGAUUUGCAACGUGUAACUUCCAUUCAUCUCAAUCCAUUUAUCAAAGGAAACCUUAAAAUUAAUAAUAUUCUAUUUAACAAGUUAUUUAUUUUACCACUUUAAGAGGGGUAUCCAAUU